rnacentral:rRNA from 1 species
UACGUAGGGGGCAAGCGUUGUCCGGAAUCAUUGGGCGUAAAGCGCGCGCAGGCGGUCCAUUAAGUCUGGUGUAUAAACCAAGGGCUCAACCUUUGGACGCAUUGGAAACUGAUGGACUGGAGUGUAGGAGAGGAAAGUGGAAUUCCACGUGUAGCGGUGAAAUGCGUAGAGAUGUGGAGGAACACCAGUGGCGAAGGCGACUUUCUGGCCUAUAACUGACGCUGAGGCGCGAAAGCGUGGGGAGCAAACAGG